rnacentral:rRNA from 2 species
GCAAUCUGUGUGACUGCGUACCUUUUGUAUAAUGGGUCAGCGACUUAUAUUCUGUAGCAAGGUUAACCGAAUAGGGGAGCCGAAGGGAAACCGAGUCUUAACUGGGCGUUAAGUUGCAGGGUAUAGACCCGAAACCCGGUGAUCUAGCCAUGGGCAGGUUGAAGGUUGGGUAACACUAACUGGAGGACCGAACCGACUAAUGUUGAAAAAUUAGCGGAUGACUUGUGGCUGGGGGUGAAAGGCCAAUCAAACCGGGAGAUAGCUGGUUCUCCCCGAAAGCUAUUUAGGUAGCGCCUCGUGAAUUCAUCUCCGGGGGUAGAGCACUGUUUCGGCAAGGGGGUCAUCCCGACUUACCAACCCGAUGCAAACUGCGAAUACCGGAGAAUGUUAUCACGGGAGACACACGGCGGGUGCUAACGUCCGUCGUGAAGAGGGAAACAACCCAGACCGCCAGCUAAGGUCCCAAAGUCAUGGUUAAGUGGGAAACGAUGUGGGAAGGCCCAGACAGCCAGGAUGUUGGCUUAGAAGCAGCCAUCAUUUAAAGAAAGCGUAAUAGCUCACUGGUCGAGUCGGCCUGCGCGGAAGAUGUAACGGGGCUAAACCAUGCACCGAAGCUGCGGCAGCGACACUGUGUGUUGUUGGGUAGGGGAGCGU